rnacentral:rRNA from 1 species
CGUAGGGUGCGAGCGUUGUCCGGAAUUAUUGGGCGUAAAGAGCUCGUAGGCGGUUUGUUGCGUCGGCCGUGAAAACUUGGGGCUUAACCCCGAGCCUGCGGUCGAUACGGGCAGACUUGAGUUCGGCAGGGGAGACUGGAAUUCCUGGUGUAGCGGUGAAAUGCGCAGAUAUCAGGAGGAACACCGGUGGCGAAGGCGGGUCUCUGGGCCGAUACUGACGCUGAGGAGCGAAAGCGUGGGGAGCGAACAGGAUUAGAUACCCUGGUAGUCCACGCCGUAAACGGUGGGUGCUAGGUGUGGGGGGCUUCCGACGUCCUCCGUGCCGCAGCUAACGCAUUAAGCACCCCGCCUGGGGAGUACGGCCGCAAGGCUA